rnacentral:piRNA from 1 species
UGAAAAGUGCAGUCAGUGAUUGUGACAGA